AGAAUCAACGCUGGCGGCGUGCCUAACACAUGCAAGUCGCACGAGAAAGGGGAGCAAUCCCUGAGUAAAGUGGCGCACGGGUGAGUAACACGUGAAUGAUCUACCUCCGAGUGGGGAAUAACUGAGAGAAAUCUUAGCUAAUACCGCAUAACACUUACGAGUCAAAGCAGCAAUGCGCUUGGAGAGGAGUUCGCGGCCGAUUAGCUAGUUGGCGGGGUAAUGGCCCACCAAGGCGAUGAUCGGUAUCCGGCCUGAGAGGGCGCACGGACACACUGGAACUGAAACACGGUCCAGACUCCUACGGGAGGCAGCAGUGGGGAAUUUUGCGCAAUGGGGGAAACCCUGACGCAGCAACGCCGCGUGGAGGAUGAAGCCCCUUGGGGUGUAAACUCCUUUCGAUCGGGAAGAUAAUGACGGUACCGAUAUAAGAAGCCCCGGCUAACUUCGUGCCAGCAGCCGC
rnacentral:rRNA from 1 species